rnacentral:RNase_P_RNA from 1 species
GGUAGUGGUAGCAGAAAGCGUAGGGUUUUGAACCCAGGAAAGUCCGCCCAUUGAGUAUCAUGGUUACCUUCGAAAGAAGGGUGGAGAAAGCCCACAGCUCUGGAUUAGAAACGACACGUCCUAUAAAAUGUGCUUAGAAAUCAUAGAUUUCUGGCACCCACGGAAAAGAAAUUUUCUGGAGGGGAAUGAUGGGAAGUCCUUAAUGGCGAAGUAUGUUGAGAAACAUAUGAGUUAACUCCUUGACGUCUUUAUAGGGAACGAUGAAACGGCGAAUCUUAACCAAUGCAAGUCAGUUUGACGCUUAGUAGAAUGCUUUCAUGGAUUAUCGUAAUCUUCACAGAUUAUUUGGGUCCAACAAAAGGUGGCUUACGCUACCCUACC